CAAAAAUCCUCUAAGUUAUUUUAGAUUAACUCGUACAGGCCAUUCUUGCACCGCUUUAAUCUUUUUUGGGUCAGUAGAGACUCCUUCCUUGGUGAUAAUGUGGCCAAGGUAUUCAACAGAAUAUUCACCAAAUUAGGAUUUACUCCUAGCAAAUAAGUGAUGUUCUUGCAAUUUGAGAAAAACCCACUUCAAGUGCUCCAAAUGGGUCUGCAUUUCUGGGCUAUACACCAAAAUAUCAUCAAAAAAUAUCAGUACAAAUCUUCUUAAAUAUGACCUAAAGAUCUCAUUCAUCAAGCUUUGGAAUGUAGAUGGGGCAUUCGUAAGGCCAAAGGGGAUUACUACAAAUUCAUAGUGCCCAUCGUGUGAUCUGGAAGUUGUCUUGUGCACCUCCAAAUUGUACAUCCGAAUCGGAUGGUAGCCAGACCUUAAGUCUGUUUUGGAAAAUACAGCAGUCUCGUGAAGUUCAUCAAGCAGCUCCUCUAUUAUAGUUAUUGGGAAUCUAUCUUCGAUAGUUUGCUUGUUAAAUACCCUAUAGUCAAUCCACAUUCUCCAGGUGCCAUCUUUCUUUUUUACUAAGACUAUUGGAGAUGAGAAAAGGCUAACACUUGGUUGAAUCACUCUACUAGCCAAUAGUUCUUGUAUCAUCUUCCCAAUUAUCGUUUUCUGCAUUGGGGAAUGUUUGUAGGGCCUGAUGUUAACUAGUUUUGCUCCUUCACAAGUGGAAUCCUGUGAUAUGCACUCUACUUGGUGGUAACUCUUUAGGUUCUUCAAAGAUAGAACCAUACUCAAUUAGUGAUUUGGUUAAGUGAAAACUAGCUGCUUCUUUUCUUGGCUGAUUCUGAUUAACUUGCUUAGCUUCAAAUUCAUUCAGUUGUAAGGCAUAAGCAAUGGCAGGCUGCUUAUGUAGUAACUUCAUUAUGUUGUUCUGAGAAAUUACUCUAACUGAAGUAGUGUUGAUACCUUGCAGCUGAUAGCAUCGAUCAUUCACAGUAAAGAUCAUUUUAAGCUGUUUCAAAUUCCACUGAAUAUCACCCAAUCCAGCCAGCCACUGAAUACCAAGAACCAUUUCAUACCCACCCAGAGACAUCACUAGAAAAUCUGAUGCAAAUUUGUAUCCCUAUACUUCCUAAGGAAACUAUUUACACAUAUGAUCACAUACUAUCUCCUAACCAUUUGCUACAAUGAUAUGAACAAGAUCAAUAAGCUUGAGUGCACAUCCUAAGCCUUUAACCAUGGCUUGAUCAAUGAAAUUAUGUGUGCUGCCCGAAUCAACCAAAAUGUGAAAGGAUUUCUUCUUACAAUUCCCAAUUAGCUUCAUGGUAUGAAACAGCCAUGGUUGGUUCAGGAAUUUUGGAGAUGAUGAGAGCAGCGGUGAGGAAGGAUCAAACUGCUUUGCUACCAAAUGGUACCAGUAAAUUUAAGAAGAAAAAGAGAGAGGAAAGGAAGAAGAAAAAUAGAGAGAAGGAAAGAGAAUUUUUACUAACAAAAUAUCAUCUGAUCAUUGCACUACAAAACAACCAUAAUAUAACUGUUGUACCAGUUGGAAUGAUAGCUGCUGGCCUCACCAUCCUACAACUUAUAUCAACCAACCAUUAACAACUUAAACGACUACAAAUUGUAAAGAUAAUAUCAGCUCUGUUUUACACAUAACAUCAUAGUUGGACCUUCAUCCUCGCAAUCAGCUACUACCAAAAAGAUAGGCUUUUCAGAUAGAAACUAGACACUAUUUUCUGGUCAAUAAGGAAUGGGCGCCAUGGACACUGUUUGAACUUGUGAAGCAAAGAUAAUAAAUAGGGUGGUGGAUCUAGUUCAUCUCUACCCCAAGGCUUGAGGAGUUGCUUGUUUCUCAGUUGAGGCGAUCCACUCCUAAGAAAUCUUCUAAGCAAAAUACAUCAAAUGUUCCAUGGCAGAUGGCGAAGAUUUUAAAGAGAUAGAAGAAGUGUAUAGGGUUAGGUUUGACAAGGAUGAGGAAGAAGGGAAAAAGGAAAUAAAAAAUUAAAGAAAGCAAAGCUGUGUCGUUUCAUGUCUUGUUGAUUCUUGUUUUAAUUUUUUGUCUAAGUUGGCCCGAAUGUUAAAAUUGAAGAAAAUAUGUUAGUUA